rnacentral:rRNA from 1 species
UACGUAGGUGAGAAGCGUUGUCCGGAUUUACUGGGCGUAAAGAGCGCGCAGGCGGUCGAUCAAGUCGAGUGUGAAAGCCCCCGGCUCAACUGGGGAGGGUCAUUCGAUACUGAUCGACUCGAAGGCAGGAGAGGGUAGUGGAAUUCCCGGUGUAGUGGUGAAAUGCGUAGAUAUCGGGAGGAACACCAGUGGCGAAGGCAGCCCCCUGGGUCAACACUGACGCUCAUGCACGAAAGCGUGGGGAGCAAACAGG